ensembl:lncRNA
AAUACUCAAUGGAACACUCCAGAAACAAACAGCCCAUAAGUUUUAAAUAACGGUAUUACAGUCCAUUGUGGCGCACGCCUGCAAUCCCAGUAUUCUGAGAGGCUGAGGCAGGAGGAUGUCAAGUUUGAGACCAGCCUGGGCAACCAAGGGGGACCCAGUCUCCGAGAAGGCAGGAAGGGAGGAGGGAGGAAAAGAUCCCUGGUUUACCAAAGAAAGAAAAAAAGAACUGAAUUUACGGAACAAUCGCGUCCCGCCUUGGGCUCCCGGCCACCUUUUUGUAAACUCGUUACGCCAUCUGGUGGCCAGAUAAACCAGAAGCAUGCAAUUACAACGGUACCGGGCUCAGCCGGAGUUCGCGUGUUUAGCCACGGUGCCUGUGUUCUUCACAGGGCCCUUCCCAUCCCCUCCGUCUGCUCCCCGCC